rnacentral:rRNA from 1 species
UUGAACGCUGGCGGCAGGCCUAACACAUGCAAGUCGAACGGUAACAGGAAACAGCUUGCUGUUUCGCUGACGAGUGGCGGACGGGUGAGUAAUGUCUGGGAAACUGCCUGAUGGAGGGGGAUAACUACUGGAAACGGUAGCUAAUACCGCAUAACGUCGCAAGACCAAAGAGGGGGACCUUCGGGCCUCUUGCCAUCGGAUGUGCCCAGAUGGGAUUAGCUAGUAGGUGGGGUAACGGCUCACCUAGGCGACGAUCCCUAGCUGGUCUGAGAGGAUGACCAGCCACACGGGAACUGAGACACGGUCCAGACUCCUACGGGAGGCAGCAGUGGGGAAUAUUGCACAAUGGGCGCAAGCCUGAUGCAGCCAUGCCGCGUGUAUGAAGAAGGCCUUCGGGUUGUAAAGUACUUUCAGCGGGGAUGAAGGGAGUAAAGUUAAUACCUUUGCUCAUUGACGUUACCCGCAGAAGAAGCACCGGCUAACUCCGUG